rnacentral:rRNA from 1 species
AGGACGAACGCUGGCGGCGUGCUUAACACAUGCAAGUCGAGCGGAAAGGCCCUUCGGGGUACUCGAGCGGCGAACGGGUGAGUAACACGUGGGCAACCUGCCCCUAGCUCUGGGAUAACUCCGGGAAACCGGUGCUAAAUACCGGAUAUGACCUCAAUUGGCAUCCUUUGAGGUGGAAAGAUUUAUUGGCUAGGGAUGGGCCCGCGGCCUAUCAGCUUGUUGGUGGGGUAAUGGCCUACCAAGGCGACGACGGGUA